GCUAAGUUCAUAUCACUUACGAUUUUCUUCUUGAAGGUUUGUCAUCAUUAAAAUUCCAGCUUCUUGAUGGAUUUUGUUCCAACAUAUGGUUGUUAGAGGGAUUUUCAAACACAUUCAAAACUGCAUGAGCUUCCCUUUCAUCUAUCUGUAUGUCAAUUGUUUUUCCUCCAACUUCUCCAGCUUCUCAACUUUGGCUACUACAUUUUUCUACUAUUUUCUACUAUACAGCUUGC
rnacentral:lncRNA from 1 species